rnacentral:tRNA from 139 species
GCGCCGCUAGCUCAGUUGGUUAGAGCAGCUGACUCUUAAUCAGCGGGUCCGGGGUUCGAGUCCCUGGCGGCGCACC